rnacentral:rRNA from 1 species
CUUGACAUCCAGAGAACUUGGCAGAGAUGCCUUGGUGCCUUCGGGAACUCUGAGACAGGUGCUGCAUGGCUGUCGUCAGCUCGUGUUGUGAAAUGUUGGAUUAAGUCCCGCAACGAGCGCAACCCCUAUCCUUUGUUGCCAGCGAUUCGGUCGGGAACUCAAAGGAGACUGCCGGUGAUAAACCGGAGGAAGGUGGGGAUGACGUCAAGUCAUCAUGGCCCUUACGAGUAGGGCUACACACGUGCUACAAUGGCGUAUACAAAGAGAAGCGACCUCGCGAGAGCAAGCGGACCUCAUAAAGUACGUCGUAGUCCGGAUUGGAGUCUGCAACUCGACUCCAUGAAGUCGGAAUCGCUAGUAAUCGUAGAUCAGAAUGCUACGGUGAAUACGUUCCCGGGCCUUGUACACACCGCCCGUCACACCAUGGGAGUGGGUUGCAAAAGAAGUAGAUAGCUUAACCUUCGGGAGGGCGUUUACCACUUUGUGAUUCAUGACUGGGGUGAAGUCGUAACAAGGUAGGCGUACGUGU